GCGAUCGUGGUAUAGUGGUGAGCAUAGCUGCCUGGGCCAGCCGCACAUAGGUGUAGAACACUGAUUGUCAGUAAGACCGUGCUCGCUGUCUGACAUGGGUUCGAAUCCCGGUUAUGGCA